rnacentral:lncRNA from 1 species
UAUCUCAGUCUCAGGACACGACAGAUGAGCUAGACGUCGGGAUGGCUAAACCUCUGGGUGACCAGUGGAGCCCCGGACAUCGCUCGGGUGGGGCCAACACUCAUGAGGAGCACUGGCCCGGGUUGUUGAUUAAAUUCCUCGGGGUAGCUAGUCCCUAUGCAGAUUAUUAUGUGAUUAGCAGAUUAAAACCAAAGUUGGGUCCUGCCGGACAAGCCUUAGCACUACGCGAUUUAUCAAGGGGGUCCCCAUAACAACCCCGAACGUGUUAGGAGCGAUCAUUAUGGAAUCAAACACCGGUAACCGGUAACUACGGCGGCAAUAACGGAACAAAGCACCCGGCAAAAGGCUAGGCCUCCCG